rnacentral:rRNA from 1 species
CCUACGGGUGGCAGCAGUGAGGAAUAUUGGUCAAUGGGCGCGAGCCUGAACCAGCCAAGUCGCGUGAGGGAUGACGGCCCUACGGGUUGUAAACUUCUUUUGCCGGGGAGCAACGGGCGCCACGUGUGGCGCCCUUGAGGGUACCCGGAGAAAAAGCAUGGGCAAACCCCGGCCCAGCACCGGGGGUAUUCGGGUGAAGGCGAGCGUUACCCGAAUUUAUUGGGUUAAAGGGUGGCGUGGUCGGAUCGUUAGGUUAGUGGUAAAAUUGAGGGGCGCAACCCCUACCCGCCGUUGAAACUGGCGCUCUUGAGUGGAAGAGAGGUAUGCGGAAUGCGUGGUGUAGCGGUGAAAUGCAUAGAUAUCACGCAGAACCCCGAUUGCGAAGGCAGCAUGCCGGCUUCCGACUGACGCUGAAGCACGAAAGCGUGGGGAUCGAACAGGAUUAGAUACCCGGGUAGUC